ACUGCUGCUGCUCCACCGCCCGCUGCAGGAUCGCCUGUCCAGGAAGCCGACCCCACCGGCUCACCCCGCUUCUGAUAUGGCUUGGCGAGUCCGCUGCAGGCUGCCCAGUCCAGUCACCCACCUGAUCCCUCUUCAGGCUAGCUAAUCCAGGCACCCAUUCCACCCCUCUGCGGGCUCACCAAUCCAGGCACCCACCCCGCUCUGCUCCCAGUCUGGCUUGGUGAAACAGGAAUGCAACAGGAACAGAAGAUAAUGGAGGUGACCCACUGGCUGCAUUUGUGGUGCUGGCAAGAGCAAUUUGGAUUUCAAGACCACAAGGUCCACCAAGAAUGAUAAAAGGCCUUCCAUUCUGGAGACCAAAUUUAGAAGCUUGCUAUAAAAUAUUUUCCUGUACUUUGUCCAGAUUUUUAAUAAAGGAUAUCUGACAGUUA